UUUCUUUCUCUGUGUGUUUGGCUUUGUGUUCUUCCUUACUUCUCCUUUUUUUCUUCGUUCGUUCGUUUUCAGAGAUACGGAAUUGCAGUAUUAUGCUUGAGAAGGUUCGGCUCCAUUGUUUAAGGAUAGAGAAAUUUUGCUGGAAAGUUUUUCAAGGGGAAACGUUUUACCGUUAGGUUCGAUGAUCAAGAAAGAAGUAAUAAUAUGCUGCUUUAGAAAUGAUGUGUGGAAAAAGUAUUACAGGUGCAAGAAAAUUAACCUGAUUAGUUGGAAUUAUGAAAUAGGAUGAAAUG
rnacentral:misc_RNA from 1 species